rnacentral:rRNA from 1 species
GAAAGUAGGGGAUCGCAAGACCUUGCGCUUUUGGAGUGGCCGAUGCCUGAUUAGCUAGUUGGUGGGGUAAUGGCCUACCAAGGCGACGAUCAGUAGUUGGUCUGAGAGGACGACCAGCCACACUGGGACUGAGACACGGCCCAGACUCCUACGGGAGGCAGCAGUGGGGAAUUUUGGACAAUGGGCGAAAGCCUGAUCCAGCAAUGCCGCGUGAGUGAAGAAGGCCUUCGGGUUGUAAAGCUCUUUCAGUCGAGAAGAAAAGGUUGUGACUAAUAAUCACAACUCAUGACGGUAUCGACAGAAGAAGCACCGGCUAACUACGUGCCAGCAGCCGCGGUAAUACGUAGGGUGCGAGCGUUAAUCGGAAUUACUGGGCGUAAAGGGUGCGCAGGCGGCUUUGUAAGUCAG